GAUGAACGCUGGCGGCGUGCCUAAUACAUGCAAGCCGAGCGAACAGACGAGGAGCUUGCUCCUCUGACGUUAGCGGCGGACGGGUGAGUAACACGUGGAUAACCUACCUAUAAGACUGGGAUAACUUCGGGAAACCGGAGCUAAUACCGGAUAAUAUAUUGAACCGCAUGGUUCAAUAGUGAAAGACGGUUUUGCUGUCACUUAUAGAUGGAUCCGCGCCGCAUUAGCUAGUUGGUAAGGUAACGGCUUACCAAGGCAACGAUGCGUAGCCGACCUGAGAGGGUGAUCGGCCACACUGGAACUGAGACACGGUCCAGACUCCUACGGGAGGCAGCAGUAGGGAAUCUUCCGCAAAGGGCGAAAGCCUGACGGAGCAACGCCGCGUGAGUGAUGAAGGUCUUCGGAUCGUAAAACUCUGUUAUUAGGGAAGAACAAAUGUGUAAGUAACUAUGCACGUCUUGACGGUACCUAAUCAGAAAGCCACGGCUAACUACGUG
rnacentral:rRNA from 1 species